CCUACGGGAGGCUGCAGUGAGGAAUAUUGGUCAAUGGGAGAGAUCCUGAACCAGCCAAGCCGCGUGAGGGAAGACGGCCCUAUGGGUUGUAAACCUCUUUUGUCGGAGAACAAAACCCGGGACGUGUCCCGGACUGCGUGUAUCCGAAGAAAAAGCAUCGGCUAACUCCGUGCCAGCAGCCGCGGUAAUACGGAGGAUGCGAGCGUUAUCCGGAUUUAUUGGGUUAAAAGGGUGCGUAGGCGGUCCGUUAAGUCAGCGGGAAAAUUGCGGGGCUCAACCCCGUCGAGCCGUUGAAACUGGCAGACUUGAGUUGGCGAGAAGUACGCGGAAUGCGCGGUGUAGCGGUGAAAUGCAUAGAUAUCGCGCAGAACUCCGAUGGCGAAGGCAGCGUACCGGCGCCAGACUGACGCUGAGGCACGAAAGCGUGGGGAUCGAACAGGAUUAGAUACCCCUGUAGUC
rnacentral:rRNA from 1 species